CCUACGGGAGGCAGCAGUGGGGAAUAUUGGACAAUGGGGGGAACCCUGAUCCAGCCAUGCCGCGUGUGUGAAGAAGGCCCUCGGGUUGUAAAGCACUUUCAGUGAGGAAGAACGCCUGGUGGUUAAUACCCAUCAGGAAAGACAUCACUCACAGAAGAAGCACCGGCUAACUCCGUGCCAGCAGCCGCGGUAAUACGGAGGGUGCGAGCGUUAAUCGGAAUUACUGGGCGUAAAGCGCGCGUAGGUGGCUUGAUAAGCCGGUUGUGAAAGCCCCGGGCUCAACCUGGGAACGGCAUCCGGAACUGUCAAGCUAGAGUGCAGGGGAGGAAGGUAGAAUUCCCGGUGUAGCGGUGAAAUGCGUAGAGAUCGGGAGGAAUACCAGUGGCGAAGGCGGCCUUCUGGACUGACACUGACACUGAGGUGCGAAAGCGUGGGUAGCAAACAGGAUUAGAUACCCCAGUAGUC
rnacentral:rRNA from 1 species